rnacentral:rRNA from 1 species
AUUGAACGCUGGCGGCAGGCCUAACACAUGCAAGUCGAGCGAGCGGCGGACGGGUGAGUAAUGUCUGGGAAACUGCCUGCUUGAGGGGGAUAACUACUGGAAACGGUAGCUAAUACCGCAUACCAUCAGAUGUGCCCAGAUGGGAUGAGCUAGUCGGUGGGGUAAUGGCUCACCUAGGCGACGAUCCCUCGCUGGUCUGAGAGGAUGACCAGUCACACGGAAACUGAGACAAGGGGCAGAAUACUAAGGGAGGCAGCAGUGGGGAAGAUUGCACAAUGGGAGCAAGCGUGAAGCAGCCAUGCCGCGUGUGUGAAGAAGGCCUUCGGGUUGUAAAGGACUUUCAGCGGGGAGGCGUUACCCGAAGAGGAAGCACCGGCUAACUCCGUGCCAGCAGCCGCGGUAAUUC